rnacentral:rRNA from 1 species
AGAGUUUGAUCCUGUUCUCAGGAUGAACGCUAGCGGCAGGCUUAACACAUGCAAGUCGAGGGGCAGCGGGGAGGAAGCUUGCUUUCUCCGCCGGCGACCGGCGCACGGGGUGAGUAACACGUAUGCAACCUGCCCCUGUCAGGGGGACAACCCCGCCGAAAGGCGGGCUAAACCCGCGUACAUGCCACCGGGGCAUCCCGGAGGCAGGAAAGGCUUCGGCCGGACAGGGAUGGGCAUGCGGCGCAUUAGGCAGUAGGCGGGGUAACGGCCCACCUAACCGACGAUGCGUAGGGGUUCUGAGAGGAAGGUCCCCCACACUGGUACUGAGACACGGACCAGACUCCUACGGGAGGCAGCAGUGAGGAAUAUUGGUCAAUGGUCGGGAGACUGAACCAGCCAAGCCGCGUGAGGGAGGAAGGUACAGAGUAUCGUAAACCUCUUUUGUCAGGGAACAAAGGCGGGGACGUGUCCCCGGAUGAGUGUACCUGAAGAAAAAGCAUCGGCUAACUCCGUGCCAGCAGCCGCGGUAAUACGGAGGAUGCGAGCGUUAUCCGGAUUUAUUGGGUUUAAAGGGUGCGCAGGCGGUCUGUUAAGUCAGCGGUCAAAGCCCGGGGCUCAACCCCGGCCCGCCGUUGAAACUGGCAGUCUCGAGUUGGAGAGAAGUAUGCGGAAUGCGCGGUGUAGCGGUGAAAUGCAUAGAUAUCGCGCAGAACUCCGAUUGCGAAGGCAGCAUGCCGGCUCCACACUGACGCUGAGGCACGAAAGCGUGGGUAUCGAACAGGAUUAGAUACCCUGGUAGUCGACGCAGUAAACGAUGAAUGCUGGCUGUCCGGGGGGACUGACCCCUGGGUGGCGAAGCGAAAGCGAUAAGCAUUCCACCUGGGGAGUACGCCGGCAACGGUGAAACUCAAAGGAAUUGACGGGGGCCCGCACAAGCGGAGGAACAUGUGGUUUAAUUCGAUGAUACGCGAGGAACCUUACCCGGGCUCAAACGGGGAGUGGCGCAGGCAGAGACGCCUGUUUCCCACGGGACACUCCCCGAGGUGCUGCAUGGUUGUCGUCAGCUCGUGCCGUGAGGUGUCGGCUUAAGUGCCAUAACGAGCGCAACCCCCGCGUGCAGUUGCUAACAGUCAACGCUGAGGACUCUGCACGGACUGCCGGCGCAAGCCGCGAGGAAGGCGGGGAUGACGUCAAAUCAGCACGGCCCUUACGUCCGGGGCGACACACGUGUUACAAUGGGUGGUACAGCGGGAAGCCAGGCGGCGACGCCGAGCGGAACCCGAAAUCCACUCUCAGUUCGGAUCGGAGUCUGCAACCCGACUCCGUGAAGCUGGAUUCGCUAGUAAUCGCGCAUCAGCCAUGGCGCGGUGAAUACGAACCCGGGCCUUGCACACACCGCCCGUCA